GGGGAGAUAGCCUAGUUGGUAGAGUGCUUGCCUCACAUGCAUAAGGCCCUGGGUUCAAUCCCCAGCACCACCA
rnacentral:tRNA from 1 species